UGAGAUGAAAACGGGUACACAAGGGGUCCCAAAGGGUCGUAUCACGUGAAUGUGAAAUUGAUAUAUGCAUGUUGACUGAGAGGUGUUUGGACUUGUGUUCUUACUGUACCCGUGAAAUCCCGUGAUGAUAUAAAAAAUAAAAACAAAAAAAGAGGUAUGAACCUCAUUAAAGUUCCGGCUUGCCUUUUCCAAGGACUUCUGCGCAGCUGAUUUUAUUCUCGUAUAUUCUCAACCUCGGCGUUAGCGCACAAGACUGCUGACACACGGCUAGCGGUAUAUGGUUAGAAAGUGGCUGGUGUGGCGUUCAUUUCUUCUGUUCGAGUAUUGGUCAUCCACCUGUGGACCACCGCUUUAGAUUUGGAUAUUAAUUACUCCAGCCGGUGGUUGUUGUUAAAGAAUUGUUAGGAUAACACGCUCGGCUGGAUCAGCGACACAUUGAAAGAUCUUUUCCUUCACAUGUCUCCGGAACCCACCGCCGUGUCCCAGGAGGAUGCCGGUGGGACAAACAUGGAUGCUUUGACUCCCACAAAGGACGAGAUACAAGUGCGAUUGAUAGGUUUCUCCGCAGGUGAAAAACCCGUUAACUGGAAAAAACCUUGUUUGAACUCAUCACUUGUAAUAACAGUUAAUGGCCGGAGAAGUCCCAGACAUGGCAUCCCGCCAUCACCAAAGUCUGAAAAGGUGAAACUUACAGGAUUCUUCUCUCAUAGUGACAAUCACCGGGGCACAAAUGAAAUAAAAACAAUGAACGAUAAUUUCAGAGAAACUUCAGGGAGGAUUUUUAAAGAUUCUCUUUGCGAUAAAGAACGACAAGAAAGACUAGCGCAAUUAAUGAAAGAAACUCAAGAACGGUUUUCUCGCGUUCGUAAAAACGAACACAACUGGCACAGUGAAAUGUCGUCUGGAAACGCGACUCACAACGCGAAAAGCUUCUUUGAGGAAACGCGAAAAAAAAAAUCUGUGGAUAAUAGUGAUUUGUUUGCAGAAUUUGUGCGAAAAAACCAAGAAAAGUUUCAACAUUUAUUGCAGGAAAACAACAUGGCUUCUGCGUUCAGCAAUUUUACUCAAAAAGCGACAAGUAUGUGUUUUGACAAUGCUACAUUGGGUAAAGAUAAGGACGAAAUCACAAUUGCAGAGAAAAGAGAAGCAUUUAGUCAAGCGCGAAGUUUUAGUGCUAGUAACGCAAGCUUUGUGAAUUUUAGAACUAGUGCACAGUGUAACGGAAUGCCAAAUAUUAACUCAAAUCAAGUGAAUGGCUCCUCUUCGGAACCGCUUACUUCUUCUCAGUUUCAGCACGCCACCAACAACGCUUGUGGUUUUACAAGUUCUUAUUCUGCAUUUUGUCACCAAAGGCAAGAGUUUAAAAAAUCGGCCAGUGGUUCCAGUUGUUCCACAGCCUGUUUGUCAAAAACUGGUGCUUAUAACCCUAGUGAAGGUUCAAAAUCAGACCUUCGAAAUCCUCCGUUUGCCAGCUUUCCCAGUUUCCAAAGUAUAUACCCCGUCACUAUUAACCUUGCGUCUCCCACAAACGUUGACCUCAGAACAAGUACAAGUGGGGCCUAUCACAUGACGUCAUCAAGAAAUACGUUCGAAUAUUGUGGAGAUACGAACACAUACAGGUUCAGCACAGAACAUGUCAUUCAGAGAUAUGAACAAGGUUAUGACAGUAUAUCAGAGAGUGAAGAUGAAGAAGAAUCACUGGAUGAUGCCAUCAGCACAGCAGGAGAACCCAGUGAGUGUGAUGAUAACAGUGUACAAGAUGUGGACAUUCCCAAUAGCUCUGGAUGUGUGCUGCCCCUUGAGUAUGGCCUUAAAAGGGAGAAGAUGGAAAAGAUACAGCAAACUCUUCACAGGAUUGCCAUGGAACUGAUGACAACUGAGAGAACUUAUGUGUCAAUUUUGCACUUGCUGGAUCAGGUCUUUGCAUUUCGUGUUGACCAAGAGAAUCGAGCUCACUCAAUGUUUCCACAAGAGGUUGUUACACAGAUGUUUUCAAACCUUAAGUCACUUUACAAACUCCAUCACGACUUCCUACUUCCACAGCUAGAGGAAAGGCUUGAGAAUUGGGAAACUGAGAGCAAAAUAGGAGAUAUCAUGAAGAAUUUUGCUCCUUUCUUGAAGAUGUACACAGAAUUUGUGAAAAAUUAUGACAACUCAAUGAACCUGAUCAAUUUAUGGUGCAACAAACAUCCUCGUUUUGCACAGAUAAUGGAUGAUAUCCACAAGAUGAAAGAAUGUGGUAACCUAACCUUACAACAUCACUUGCUAACUCCAGUCCAGAGGGUUCCCAGGUACCAGUUGCUGUUAAAAGACUAUUUAAAGAAACUACCAGAAGACUCAGCAGAUAGAGCUGAUACAGAAAAAGCUCUUGAGCUGGUGUCUACAGCUGCUACACAUGCAAAUGAUGCUAUGAAGAAAAUUGAUAAAUUUAAAAAAUUACUGGAGGUUCAAGAAAUGAUAAGUGGUGUUGUAGAUCUUGUUAGUCCUACUCGAGAACUUCUGAAGGAGGGAAAAAUUAUCAAGAUUUCAGCUCGAAGUGGUGAUCAUCAAGAGCGUCAUUUAUUUCUGUUCAAUGACUUCUUGUUGCUGUGUAGUCAAAGGUUAAUCUCCAAUCGAGUGGUCUCUGGCCCAUGCUUCCGAGUGAGGGCAAAACUGGGUGUGGAAGGGCUUGUGAUAGAGGAGGGUGACAAUCUUGAAACAGCUAAUACAUUCUACAUCCGCAGCACUGGAAGAUCCAUAGAACUCUACACACAAACUAUGAAAGAGAAAAUUGCUUGGAUGGAGGCAUUAGCCAAGGCAGUACAUGAUCUCACCCAAAGAAAAAGUUCAUUGAGAAUUGUCUCUAGAGGGCAUGGAACUAGGAACUCGAGCACCAACAUUUAUCAAGCAUGAUGCAAUUAAUCAUUGUAUGGUCUGUGGUAGCCAGUUCAACACUUUUUCUCUCAAAAGAAAACACCAUUGCCGAGCCUGUGGAAUUGUAGCUUGUAACAAAUGCCUUUCCCAGAAGUCUCCACUACCUUAUGAUAACAAUAAAACUGGUCGAGUAUGCACCCAGUGCCAUGAUAUCCUCUCUCACAGUCCCCAGGGAAAGGAAGAUGAUAGUCAGAAGGAAAAUAUUGAAAGUCCUAUCAAAAGGAAAGGAAUUCUGGAG
rnacentral:misc_RNA from 1 species